rnacentral:rRNA from 1 species
UACAGAGGGUGCAAGCGUUAAUCGGAAUUACUGGGCGUAAAGCGCACGUAGGUGGGUAUCUAAGUCGAAUGUGAAAUCCCCGGGCUCAACCUGGGCAUUGCAUCCGAUACUGGAUACCUUGAGUAUGGUAGAGGAGAGUAGAAUUCCCGGUGUAGCGGUGAAAUGCGUAGAUAUCGGGAGGAAUACCAGUGGCGAAAGCGGCUCUCUGGACCAAUACUGACACUCAGGUGCGAAAGCGUGGGGAGCAAACAGG